rnacentral:rRNA from 1 species
GACGAACGCUGGCGGCGUGCUUAACACAUGCAAGUCGAACGGAAAGGCCCUGCUUUUGUGGGGUGCUCGAGUGGCGAACGGGUGAGUAACACGUGAGUAACCUGCCCUUGACUUUGGGAUAACUUCAGGAAACUGGUGCUAAUACCGGAUAGGAGCUCCUGCUGCAUGGUGGGGGUUGGAAAGUUUCGGCGGUUGGGGAUGGACUCGCGGCUUAGCAGCUUGUUGGUGGGGUAGUGGCUUACCAAGGCUUGGACGGGUAGCCGGCCUGAGAGGGUGACCGGGCACAUUGGGCUUGGGGAGGGGCCAGGAGUGCAACGGGGGGCAGGAGUGGGGAAUAUGGCACACUGGGCGGAGGCUGGAUGCAGGAUCGCCGGGUGGGGGAGGACGGCCUUUGGGUUGGAAACCGAUUUCGCCUGUAACGAGGCGUGAGUAAGGGAAAUGGGGAAAGAGGCACGGGCUACCUAGGG